AAUAUGUUAUAAACAAAUAAUAUAUAAAUCCGUACCGAACCCCAAACAGUAUUUAACGCGUGUGUUCCCAUCCGCCAGUUGCUUUGCCGCGAAUCUACGAUUGUGUGAGUGUGUUUCUGUGCCUGUAUGUAUUCGUUGAAUGAUGUGGCUGUGCCGUUUUUUCAAAUUGCCGUUGAUUACAAGCCGAGACAGUACGAUCACACGCACACACUCGCAAACAAAGACUUAACCGAAAUAAUGAGUGGGUACGGGACGGAUGCAGGCAGCAUUUACAGUUGGUCGGACUCCGCGACGCUCUGCUCUGAUCUUUUCCUUCGAAUGCAGCACCUAAUAAGAAAUGAUUUAAUUUCAAUAACGAUUUAAUAAAAAUGAAUUUGCGAAACGAAAUUGACGAGAAGAAUAACGUGAAAGGCCUGAGCAGAUCACAUCGGACCAGACCAGGCUCCUCGUGCGUGUGUAUGCAUGUAUUGGUGUGUUUGUGUGUAAUUCGCCAUACUUCUUCCUCAAUGCCUCAAUUCAAAGAACAGACAGAAGAAGAGCACUAAAACAACAAGAACAAGAAGAGCGGCAGAAAAGCAGCAGCGGUGGCGGCGGCAAAAGGCAAGACAUACUUGAAAAAUAAAAGCAGCGCUGCCCCGAUCGUUACUCACUCACACAACGGCACUCACUCACUCCAGUAGUCGCUCUCACUCUCUGCCUCUCGUUUUGCUCUCCAUUGCUGUGCUCUCGCGAGUGUGUGUGUAAGCUUUGCCUGCCAUGUCUGUUCUGGUAUGUAUAUAGCAGGCGAAAAAAAACCUAUAUAUUACGUUCAAUUUUCCCUAUAUUUUUUGCGCCUGCCAAUAAGCGGUUCUUUGUCGGAGUUGCCACACAGCCUCGAAAUUCGUCGAAUUUUAAAUUGGAAACGAGCAAGCAAGCGCACGGACAUUUCAUUGAAAUAGUUAAACCAUGUAUGUACACUUAAACGAGUGUAUGUAGGUUCUGUAUUCCGCUGAUAAGACACGCAGAACCGCCUGCUCCAGAGACUCCCGGCUUAUCAACGAAAAGAGGAAAAAACUGUGUAGCAAAAAUGGGUCGAGCGACGACCGAGCAAGCACAUUGUGUAUUGUUUUUUGUUGUGUUUGCACUAUCGCU
rnacentral:lncRNA from 1 species